AUUUCAAUUCCUCAUAGGUAGUCUAUAAAC
rnacentral:other from 1 species